UUAAGCGACUAAGCGUACACGGUGGAUGCCCUGGCAGUCAGAGGCGAUGAAGGACGUGCUAAUCUGCGAAAAGCGUCGGUAAGGUGAUAUGAACCGUUAUAACCGGCGAUGUCCGAAUGGGGAAACCCAGUGCAAUUCGUUGCACUAUCGUUAACUGAAUACAUAGGUUAACGAGGCGAACCGGGGGAACUGAAACAUCUAAGUACCCCGAGGAAAAGAAAUCAACCGAGAUUCCCCCAGUAGCGGCGAGCGAACGGGGAGCAGCCCAGAGUCUGAAUCAGCUUGUGUGUUAGUGGAACGGUCUGGAAAGUCCGACGGUACAGGGUGAUAGUCCCGUACACCAAAAUGCACAGGCUGUGAACUCGAAGAGUAGGGCGGGACACGUGGUAUCCUGUCUGAAUAUGGGGGGACCAUCCUCCAAGGCUAAAUACUCCUGACUGACCGAUAGUGAACCAGUACCGUGAGGGAAAGGCGAAAAGAACCCCGGCGAGGGGAGUGAAAAAGAACCUGAAACCGUGUACGUACAAGCAGUGGGAGCACCUUCGGGUGUGACUGCGUACCUUUUGUAUAAUGGGUCAGCGACUUAUAUUCUGUAGCAAGGUUAACCGUAUAGGGGAGCCGCAGGGAAACCGAGUCUUAACUGGGCGUUAAGUUGCAGGGUAUAGACCCGAAACCCGGUGAUCUAGCCAUGGGCAGGUUGAAGGUUGGGUAACACUAACUGGAGGACCGAACCGACUAAUGUUGAAAAAUUAGCGGAUGACUUGUGGCUGGGGGUGAAAGGCCAAUCAAACCGGGAGAUAGCUGGUUCUCCCCGAAAGCUAUUUAGGUAGCGCCUCGUGAACUCAUCUUCGGGGGUAGAGCACUGUUUCGGCUAGGGGGUCAUCCCGACUUACCAACCCGAUGCAAACUACGAAUACCGAAGAAUGUUAUCACGGGAGACACACGGCGGGUGCUAACGUCCGUCGUGAAGAGGGAAACAACCCAGACCGCCAGCUAAGGUCCCAAAGUCAUGGUUAAGUGGGAAACGAUGUGGGAAGGCACAGACAGCCAGGAUGUUGGCUUAGAAGCAGCCAUCAUUUAAAGAAAGCGUAAUAGCUCACUGGUCGAGUCGGCCUGCGCGGAAGAUGUAACGGGGCUAAACCAUGCACCGAAGCUGCGGCAGCGACACUAUGUGUUGUUGGGUAGGGGAGCGUUCUGUAAGCCUGCGAAGGUGACCUGUGAGGGUUGCUGGAGGUAUCAGAAGUGCGAAUGCUGACAUAAGUAACGAUAAAGCGGGUGAAAAGCCCGCUCGCCGGAAGACCAAGGGUUCCUGUCCAACGUUAAUCGGGGCAGGGUGAGUCGACCCCUAAGGCGAGGCCGAAAGGCGUAGUCGAUGGGAAACAGGUUAAUAUUCCUGUACUUGGUGUUACUGCGAAGGGGGGACGGAGAAGGCUAUGUUAGCCGGGCGACGGUUGUCCCGGUUUAAGCAUGUAGGCUGGUUAUCCAGGCAAAUCCGGAUAAUCAAGGCUGAGGUGUGAUGACGAGGCACUACGGUGCUGAAGUAACAAAUGCCCUGCUUCCAGGAAAAGCCUCUAAGCAUCAGGUAACAUUAAAUCGUACCCCAAACCGACACAGGUGGUCAGGUAGAGAAUACCAAGGCGCUUGAGAGAACUCGGGUGAAGGAACUAGGCAAAAUGGUGCCGUAACUUCGGGAGAAGGCACGCUGGUGUGUAGGUGAAGCCCCUGCGGGUGGAGCUGAGACCAGUCGAAGAUACCAGCUGGCUGCAACUGUUUAUUAAAAACACAGCACUGUGCAAACACGAAAGUGGACGUAUACGGUGUGACGCCUGCCCGGUGCCGGAAGGUUAAUUGAUGGGGUUAUCCGUAAGGAGAAGCUCUUGAUCGAAGCCCCGGUAAACGGCGGCCGUAACUAUAACGGUCCUAAGGUAGCGAAAUUCCUUGUCGGGUAAGUUCCGACCUGCACGAAUGGCGUAAUGAUGGCCAGGCUGUCUCCACCCGAGACUCAGUGAAAUUGAACUCGCUGUGAAGAUGCAGUGUACCCGCGGCAAGACGGAAAGACCCCGUGAACCUUUACUAUAGCUUGACACUGAACAUUGAGCCUUGAUGUGUAGGAUAGGUGGGAGGCUUUGAAGCGUGGACGCCAGUCUGCGUGGAGCCAACCUUGAAAUACCACCCUUUAAUGUUUGAUGUUCUAACGUUGGCCCCUGACCGGGGUUGCGGACAGUGUCUGGUGGGUAGUUUGACUGGGGCGGUCUCCUCCCAAAGCGUAACGGAGGAGCACGAAGGUUAGCUAAUCCUGGUCGGACAUCAGGAGGUUAGUGCAAUGGCAUAAGCUAGCUUGACUGCGAGCGUGACGGCGCGAGCAGGUGCGAAAGCAGGUCAUAGUGAUCCGGUGGUUCUGAAUGGAAGGGCCAUCGCUCAACGGAUAAAAGGUACUCCGGGGAUAACAGGCUGAUACCGCCCAAGAGUUCAUAUCGACGGCGGUGUUUGGCACCUCGAUGUCGGCUCAUCACAUCCUGGGGCUGAAGUAGGUCCCAAGGGUAUGGCUGUUCGCCAUUUAAAGUGGUACGCGAGCUGGGUUUAGAACGUCGUGAGACAGUUCGGUCCCUAUCUGCCGUGGGCGCUGGAGAAUUGAGGGGGGCUGCUCCUAGUACGAGAGGACCGGAGUGGACGCAUCACUGGUGUUCGGGUUGUCAUGCCAAUGGCACUGCCCGGUAGCUAAAUGCGGAAGAGAUAAGUGCUGAAAGCAUCUAAGCACGAAACUUGCCCCGAGAUGAGUUCUCCCUGAGACUUUAAGUCUCCUGAAGGAACGUUGAAGACGACGACGUUGAUAGGCCGGGUGUGUAAGCGCAGCGAUGCGUUGAGCUAACCGGUACUAAUGAACCGUGAGGCUUAACCUU
rnacentral:rRNA from 1 species